UCUCCGUAGGUGAACCUGCGGAAGGAUCAUUAUCGAAAUACUUAUUUAGCGUUCCGUGCUAUCCCAUUGUUUUAUUUACCCUGUUGCUUCCACUGGAUGAGUUUCCAUACCUUGUGUUUGAGAAACUUUGGCUUGUGUAAGAUUCAUUCACGGCCAGCCAGUGAGAAGACCAUUUACAAAACCCUGUUAAGAACCAAUUGUCUGAAUAUUUUACUCCAAUGAAAUAAAACUCUCAACAACGGAUCUCUAGGCUCUU
rnacentral:misc_RNA from 1 species